GACGAACGCUGGCGGCGUGCUUAACACAUGCACUUCGAACGAAGUGGCGAACGGGUGAGUAACGCGUAAUCAACCUGCCCUUCAGAGGGGGACAACAGUUGGAAACGACUGCUAAUACCGCAUACUCAAGGAGGGGAUUUCGUCUGAUUGGAUAGUUGGAGUGGUAACGUCCCACCAAGGCGAUGAUACGUAGCAGGUCUGAUAGAAGGAACGGCCAAAUUGGGACUGAGACACGGCCCAGACUCCUACGGGAGGCAGCAGGGGGGAAUCUUCCGCAAUGGACGAAAGUCUGACGGAGCAACGCCGCGUGAGUGAUGACGGCCUUCGGGUUGUAAAGCUCUGUUAAUCGGGACGCGGGACCGGAAUAGAAAGCCACGGCUAACUACGUGCCAGCCGCCGCGGUAAUUC
rnacentral:rRNA from 1 species